rnacentral:misc_RNA from 1 species
GGCUACCUCCAGUAGUACAAUAGUACAUGCUCUAACUUCUGUAAAUUAUACGUCUGCUAGUUUUCCAGUCCAAAAUUCGAAUGUCGCGGCGUGUUAUGAAGAAUAUAAUACAACCUUGCUUGAGAUUGUGAAUAUUCAUGUUCAUUUCUGGUGAUUUAUUAUUGCUAUCCGAUUUUGGAUGUUUACUUGUGUAUUGCUGUGCGUAGUACCUUGCCUUCUCAUUCCCGGGUUUCGUGGAUAGAUGAAAUCUGUUAAAGAAUUAUCUUACGAAUCGUCUUGGACGUAUGAAAUUGUCACGUUUGAAACUUUUCGUGUAUAAGAAAUAUGUUUCCAAUGUGUUUUACGACGCUGGAUACGUUUGAUACAGAAUUUUCUGCAGAUUCUGUGGAAUGGUGUCCCAUCGAACCGUUUACCGAUGUGUUUGUAUGCGGUACAUAUCAAUUCUCCAAUACUGAAGUUGGAGGUGAUACGGAAAAUACAAAGUGCCCGAACCGUCUUGGAAGGAUUUAUCUAUUCCGUGUGAAAAAUAGCGGAAAACUGAACUUGUUACAGCAUUUGAAUGUUCCAGCUGUGUUAGAUAUGAAGUGGAUGCACGUAAAAAUGAAUCACAAAAUACUACUCGGUGUUGCCAAUGCAUCGGGCUGCAUACAAAUCUAUGAACUGUCGGAUGUGAAUAAUAUAUCAUUGAAAUUAUUCACAGAACAAAAAAUCAACCCAGAUCAUGGUGAAAUAUUAGCAUUGUCUUUGGACUGGUCAUCCGGAGUAUUAUGUAACAACGCGGAUCAAGAUGUGAAGGCUGUGGUCAGUGAUUCGCAUGGUUCUAUUUCAAUCUUCGAAUUUCGUGGCGAAAGUUUAGUGAACAAGUAUUUGUGGAAUGCUCAUGGCUACGAAGCAUGGAUUGCAGCGUUCGAUUAUUGGAAUACUAAUAUCAUAUACACUGGUGGAGACGAUUGUAGACUUCAAUGGUUCGACAUAAGAAUGGGUACACAACCAGCUGGAAAUAAUAGAAUACAUGGCGCUGGGGUUACAAGUCUCCAUAGUAAUGCAGCUCAAGAAUUUACAUUGGCUUCUGGAAGUACCAUCCUCAAUCGCUCAACAAUGACCCGCUGGGCAUCGUUCAGAAAGGCCGCCAAACUCUUGUGGUACAGAUUUGUGACAACCCCUGUUCGGAUCCGGUUGGCAAAAGUACUAUCGACAUCAUCCGUCUGUAUAUCCGCAGGACUGCUGAUAUUACCACCCGUCACUAGAGCUUGCUGCUGCUGCUGUUGCUGCCGCAGCUGUUGCUGGAUCUUCCGUCACACAGGAUUGCACGAGUGAGAUUGUGUGUUGAAUCUGUAGUUUCGUACCCACGCUCGUUCUCAGACGCAUGGAAACAUCACACAGCAAUUAAAGAUUUUGCAUUCCAACGUCAAUCGAAUGUUCGAAGAUGUCGUCAUUCUCUCACUCAGGAUGUAGCUCGCUCAACAAAUUCUACGACGAAAUCUUGAGAUUAUGGGAUGUGCGAAAAUUGCGUAAUCCAGUUUCCGAGCUGAAUCUCAACGGUGGUAUCUGGCGUUUGAAAUGGGA